rnacentral:rRNA from 1 species
AUUGAACGCUGGCGGCAGGCCUAACACAUGCAAGUCGGGCGAGUGGCGGACGGGUGAGUAAUGUAUGGGGAACUGACUGAUGGAGGGGGAUAACUACUGGAAACGGUAGCUAAUACAGUAUUCCAUCAGAAGAACCCAUAUGGGAUUAGCUUGUAGGUAAGGUAACGGCUUACCUAGGCGACGAUCCCUAGCUGGUCUGAGAGGAGGAUCAGCCACACUGGAACUGGGACACGGCCCAGACUCCUACGGGAGGCAGCAGUGGGGAAUAUUGCACAAUGGGCGCAGGCCUGAUGCAGACAUGCCGCGUGUAUGAAGAAGGCCUUCGGGUUGUAAAGUACUUUCAGUCGGGAGGCGUUACCGACAGAAGAAGCACCGGCUAACUCCGUGCCAGCAGCCGCGGUAAUUC